GACGAACGCUGGCGGCGUGCCUAAUACAUGCAAGUCGAACGCUGAAGUAGGAGCUUGCUCUUCUGGAUUAGUUGCGAACGGGUGAGUAACGCGUAGGUAACCUGCCUGUUACCGGGGGAUAACUAUUGGAAACGAUAGCUAAUACCGCAUAACAUUAGUCGUUGCAUGACAUUUACUUAAAAGGUUCAAUUGCAUCACUACUAGAAGCACCUGCGUUGUAUUAGCUAGUUGGUGGGCUAACGGCUCACCAAGCCGACGAUACAUAGCCGACCUGAAAGGGGAAUCGGCCACGCUGGGACGGGAACACGGCCCAGCAUCCUACGGGAGGCAGCAGGCGGGGAUCUCCGGCAGUGGACGGAAGUCGGACCAAUCAACGCCGGGCGAGUGACUGAGGUUUUCAGGUCGUGAAAGUCAUGUGUGAGCGAGGGUCGGAUAGGAGAGUGGAAAGGGCAGACAGUGACGGUAUCGGAACAAAAAGGUACGGCUAACUACGUG
rnacentral:rRNA from 1 species